AAUCGAACCCGGAGAUAGCUGGUUCUCCUCGAAAUAGCUUUAGGGCUAGCCUCAUGGAUCAUUGGUGGGGGUAGAGCACUGAAUGUGCGCGGGGGCCACAAAGCCUACCAAACGCUAUCAAACUUCGAAUACCAUACAAUGCAGACCAUGGGAGUCAGUCCGCGAGAGAUAAGUUCCGCGGGCAAAAGGGGAACACCCCAGAUCAACCGCUAAGGUCCCCAAGUUCACGUUAAGUGGAGAAGGAUGUGGAAUUGCACAGACAACCAGGAUGUUGGCUCAGAAGCAGCCACACAUUUAAAGAGUGCGUAAUAGCUCACUGGUCGAGUGAUUGUGCGCCGAAGAUGUCCGGGGCUAAACGUGACACCGAAGCGAUGGGUGCAUCUGAAAGGAUGCGCGGUAGAGGAGCAAUGUGCAGAGGCAGAAGCCGUAUCGAGAGGCACGGUGGACACUGCACAAGAGAGAAUGCCGGUAUGAGUAGCGAGAGGCAUGCGAGAAACAUGCCCGUCGAAAGCCCAAGGUUUCCUGGGGAAGGUUCAUCCGCCCAGGGUAAGUCGGGGCCUAAGCCGAGGACGGAAGUCGUAGGCGAUGGACAGCAGGUGUAGAUUCCUGCACUACCGAUGGAAUGAAGCAGUGACACAGAAGGAUAACUCGAGCAGGGUGAUGGUCAACCCUGUGCAAGCAUCAAGGUUGGGUUGUAGUGAAGUACGCAACCCUAUAAGCUGAGGUGUGAUGCGGACCGAAAUUUCAGUAGGGAAGCGAGUGAGUUCACGCUGGCGAGAAAAGCUGCUAGUACAUCCAAAGGUACCCGUACCGGAAACCGACGCAGGUGGGCGAGGAGAGAAUCCUGAGACGAACGGGAGAACCCUUGUUAAGGAACUCGGCAAAAUGACCCCGUAACUUCGGGAUAAGGGGUGCCUGCGAGAGCAGGCCGCAGAGAAUAGUCACAAGCGACUGUUUAGCAAAAACACAGGUAUCUGCGAAAGCGAGAGCUGACGUAUAGGUGCUGACACCUGCCCGGUGCUGGAAGGUUAAGGGAACAUGUUAGAGCAAUCGAAGCAUCGAACCGAAGCCCCAGUAAACGGCGGCCGUAACUAUAACGGUCCUAAGGUAGCGAAAUUCCUUGUCGGGUAAGUUCCGACCCGCACGAAUGGUGUAACGA
rnacentral:rRNA from 1 species